CACGACCAAAUAUUUUUAACUGAAACUAGUCCAAUAAGAAGUUCUCUUUCUUUUCCUUUUUAAAGAAGUGUUAUUUCUUUACAGGGUCCUUUCAUUAUUCCCCCAGAAAUUUGGGGAGGUUUUUGCAAUCAUCAUACAUUUGAAAUACCAGCUGCUAACUUCAACCCAAUUUUCUGCCCUGUUUGAAAAGGAUUUUUUGUUUGGAUUUAGUGGGGUUAGGAUUGAGAGUGUGUGCGCACGCACGUGUGUGCCCAGAAAGAUAGAGGAAAAAGGACAGAAAAGCACACAAAUAGUUUUGCUUUGAAGUUGCUACAUAAUUACUGUUAAGAUCUACCAAAAUGUACUGAGAGACAGCCCUGCUUACUCAAAUCUGGUGAUUGAGCAGGCAAGCAGCGUCUGGGAAGACUUAAGGAUGGAUGAAAUGGAAGCAUCGGAAGAAUGCAACCAAGGAUCUCUGCCAAGGCAAAGGGUUGUGGAAGUGAUUGCUGCUCUUCAGAAAACAGUGCAGACUUUCUGCAACUUCAUAUCUCCACCUUUGUAACAGAUAGAGCUACCGCGACCAUCUGGAAGAUGUCACAGAAGAUGUUUACAAAAGAUUGGGGCGGGGGGGGUCCUUAAAAGCAAGUAGCUGUAUAAAAAUACUGAGUUGGUUUUUUUUUAACAUCACGACAGCGACUUUCAUUCUAUUGCUGACAUCCCGUCGGUCAGGAUGGCAAAGAAUAUACGAGAGAAAGCAUUAAAAGUGCCUAAUCACGGCCACUAACAAGGAAAAGUACCCAGCACGGAGUAAACAUUCAAUAGUUGUUAUUUAAUUUUAAUAGAAGUAAUAGCCUUUCAAACUCUUUUGUCCCACCUUGAAACUAGAAAGGGCCCCUCCGCCUUUUAUUACAGGAAAUCAAGCCGAGGAAGAAAUGAAGAUAAGAUAAAACGGCUCAGUAAUCACCGUUCCUGGGUUUUCCAACCUCGAGUGAGGCCUUGAUUCCAAGUCUCUUUGCCCAGACAAUGACAAGCACCCAAUUGAAAAAUGGAUGAACUAAAGCUUUUCGCUGUUCUCCUGUCCAAAUUGGAUUGGUUACCCAAUUUGACUGAGUGCUUAGAAAUUAGUCAAUAAGGCAACUAAUUAAUAAUUUGACUGGGUGGGGGGAAUGGUGGAGGAGAAGUCAAUUUCUCAGCUGUACACAGAUGUAAGUCAGAGGAAACCUUGAGGCCCCUUACUACAUAAUUCUAGCAAAAGCCUGUUUUGAAAAUCUUGUAAGCUGAUUUAAAACAGGAAUUCUGGGUUUAGUUUACUUUGUAUUAAGCCUUUUCGUCUCAAUGAAAUAAUAUAGUGGAGAGAGAUAUCAAUGAAAUAAUAAAGUGGAGAGAGAUGAUAUACA
rnacentral:lncRNA from 1 species